rnacentral:rRNA from 1 species
CCGGCGACCGGCGCACGGGUGAGUAACACGUAUGCAACCUGGCCGUGACAGAUGGAUAACCGGGAGAAAUCCCGCCUAAUACAGCAUGACGCCGGGAAGGGACAUCCCUUUCCGGCCAAAGGGGGCGACUCCGGUCACGGAUGGGCAUGCGGCGCAUUAGGUAGUUGGUGGGGCAACGGCCCACCAAGCCGACGAUGCGUAGGGGUUCUGAGAGGAAGGUCCCCCACAUUGGAACUGAGACGCGGUCCAAACUCCUACGGGAGGCAGCAG